GAGUGUUACAGCUUUUUUAGAAUUUGUCUAGUAGGAUUUCUGGUUUUUUCUGGAAGACGCCU
rnacentral:snRNA from 1 species